rnacentral:sRNA from 1 species
AAGCUUAAUAAGGACGAAGAAGAGAGGUUACUAAAAG